AGUGAACGCUGGCGGUAGGCCUAACACAUGCAAGUCGAACGGCAGCACAGUAAGAGCUUGCUCUUACGGGUGGCGAGUGGCGGACGGGUGAGGAAUACAUCGGAAUCUACUUUUUCGUGGGGGAUAACGUAGGGAAACUUACGCUAAUACCGCAUACGACCUACGGGUGAAAGCAGGGGAUCUUCGGACCUUGCGCGAUUGAAUGAGCCGAUGUCGGAUUAGCUAGUUGGCGGGGUAAAGGCCCACCAAGGCGACGAUCCGUAGCUGGUCUGAGAGGAUGAUCAGCCACACUGAAGCUGAGACACGGUCCAGACUCCUACGGAGGGCAGCAGUGGGAAAUAUUGGCCAAUGGGCGAAAGCCUGAUCCAGCCAUACCGCGUGGGUGAAGAAGGCCUUCGGGUUGUAAAGCCCUUUUGUUGGGAAAGAAAAGCAGCAGGUUAAUACCCCGCUGUUCUGACGGUACCCAAAGAAUAAGCACCGGCUAACUUCGU
rnacentral:rRNA from 1 species